rnacentral:rRNA from 1 species
AGACGCAAAGUCGCGAGGCGGAGCAAAUCUCAAAAGCCGAUCCCAGUUCGGAUUGCAGGCUGCAACUCGCCUGCAUGAAGUUGGAGUUGCUAGUAAUCGCGGAUCAGAAUGCCGCGGUGAAUGCGUUCCCGGGUCUUGUACACACCGCCCGUCACACCACGGAAGUUGGGGGUGCCCAAAGUUGGCAGGAUAAUAUGUUACCUAAGGCAAAACCGAUGACUGGGGUGAAGUCGUAACAAGGUAUC